GUCGUCAUCACGCAGCAGGCACGUAAUGAUAAAAUCGUCAACAUCCGAUUCAGGAGCGGGCAUGGCUUUUUGCGAUUAUUUUCCAAGAGAUCACAGCCAUGACUCCAUUGAGAGAUGGGAUGAGACUUCGGGCCCUGACGAUAUAUCGGAAGCGUCCCAGGAGAUAACGGAGGAUUCUUCAGACUUAUCAGACGGCCCUGAUGAAUUGUUUGACAUCAAACAGAUUUAGAAUACGUUGACGAAGAAGAAGAGUUACCUGAAACUUCACAAGCUGUGAGAGGAAAAGCAUCUUCAAAGUCACUGCUGCCAGAGAAACAGUCACCUCAUGGUGAAACAUUUUUAAUUGCACUAUUGGGCCCAAUCUAAGUGUCUAACCACAGAAACACAGACUUGGUGGAUGAGUCUGGUGACAGCUCUGACGACGAGCCAUUGGUUAAGAUGAUCAGGAAGCCUCCAACAGACUGCCAGCUGAGCGAGAGAAUGAAGGCACUGCUGAAAUACACAGACAUGGCGGAUGUGACAAUGAAGCAAAUCUACAAUAGAGUGUUUGAGAGGUGCCCCCGGUAUGACCUGUCUAACAAGAAGGACAUCAUCAAGCAGACAGUGAAAGAGGGGAUUUCUUUACAACCCAGGGUUUUAAUCAAGCCAUAUUCAUAGCUUUGACAGAUAACAUUAUAAUCAAUGAUCUCAGGAAAACAUAGUUGAUAUCGUGACAAAGUAUAUGCCUUUCCAGGACGUUUCAUUUAUAUUUUUUAAGUUCAGACUGUUUAAAUACUAUACAAUUUCAUGCAACUUAUUUGUUUUACUUGCCUAAGUUUUGUAAAUAAAGUAUUUAUUGUACUGUA